rnacentral:rRNA from 1 species
UCCUGGCUCAGGAUGAACGCUGGCGGCGUGCUUAACACAUGCAAGUCGAACGAAGAGGAUAAGAAAGAGCGCUUCGGCAGGAUUUUUUAUCAUCUUAGUGGCGGACGGGUGAGUAACGUGUGGGCAACCUGCCCUGUACUGUGGAAUAAUCAUUGGAAACGAUGACUAAUACCGCAUGUGGUCCUCAGAGGGCAUCCUCAGAGGAAGAAAGGAUACGUUCGGUACAGGAUGGGCCCGCAUCUGAUUAGCUAGUUGGUGAGAUAACAGCCCACCAAGGCGACGAUCAGUAGCCGACCUGAGAGGGUGAUCGGCCACAUUGGGACUGAGACACGGCCCAAACUCCUACGGGAGGCAGCAGUGGGGAAUAUUGCACAAUGGGGGAAACCCUGAUGCAGCAACGCCGCGUGAAGGAAGAAGGUUUUCGGAUUGUAAACUUCUGAUCUAAGGGAAAAAGAAAGUGAUGGUACCUUAGGAGAAAGCCACGGCUAACUACGUGCCAGCAGCCGCGGUAA